CCAGCUUUUUCCUGUUCCUUUCAUUUGGGAGACCAGGCAUUCAAAUCCACUUAGGAAAGAACAUUUGGUAUUACAGCCUUACCUUCAUAAUGAGGCGUUCUGAUACACAGGAAAGUAGAUACCUGAAGUAGGUAGAGAACAGUCUGGUUGGAGAAGAUACCUGGAGCUAUGCAGAAAAAAGGAAGCUGUCAUAGAGUCCAGGUUCAGGUUUAUGGACCCUUGAGAACCUGAUGGAGUUAGGGACACCUUUCCUACCUGAGUGCACAUGUUCCAACAUGCACAAAAGCUUGACUGCACUGAGAUGAGACCCACACCUAACGGACAGCAACAACAAUACCAAGCACCGGCAAGAAGGCAGAGGAGUAGAAUUCUCACUCACUGCAGAUGGGAAGGCAAAAUAGUAUAGCCAAUUUGGAACCCGUUUGACAGUUUCUUGUAAAGUUAAAUAUACACCUGCCAUACUACCCAGUAAUCCCACUCUUUACUGUUUACCCAAGAGAAAUGAAAAUUUAUGUUUUCCACAAAAAUCUGCAUCCAAACAUUUACAAUGGCUCUUUUUUCCAUAAUAAACAAAAACUGGAAAUGA